rnacentral:tRNA from 3 species
GCUUCCUUAGCUCAGUAGGUAGAGCGCAUCCAUGGUAAGGAUGAGGUCGCCGGUUCGAGUCCGGCAGGAAGCUCCA